AUUGAACGCUGGCGGCAGGCCUAACACAUGCAAGUCGAACGAGUGGCGGACGGGUGAGUAAUGUCUGGGAAACUGCCUGAUGGAGGGGGAUAACUACUGGAAACGGUAGCUAAUCCCGCAUACCAUCGGAUGUGCCCAGUUGGGAUUAGCUCGUAGGUGGGUUAACUGCCCACCGAGGCGACGAUCCCUAGCUGGUCUGAGAGGAUGACCAGCCAAACUGGAACUGAGACACGGGCCAGACUCCUACGGGAGGCAGCAGUGGGGAAUAUUGCACAAUGGGCGCAAGCCUUAUGCAGCCAUGCCGAGUGUAUGAAUAAGGCCUUCGGGUUGUAAAGUACUUUCAGCGGGGAGGCGUUACCCGCAGAAGAAGCACCGGCUAACUCCGUGCCAGCAGCCGCGGUAAUAC
rnacentral:rRNA from 1 species